AAAAAACCAAACCCUGAAUUUCCGUGUCCAACUUUAACCGUCCGUCUUAUUUAAAAAAAUUAUGAAAAAAAAUAAAAAGACAAAUCACGCAUAAAUUAUUAAUCAUGUUUUAUCAUCUAACAACAAUGAAAAUACUAAUUAUAAAAAAAUUUCAUAUAAGACGAACAGUUAAACGUUGGACACGGAAAGUUAGGGUUUUUCUUUUU
rfam:Oryza nivara chromosome 2, whole genome shotgun sequence.